ensembl:lncRNA
AAAUAAGACAACUUUUUAAAGAAAUGUUAAGAAAGACUGUAUAAAUAUAAUUUUGAGUACAAUGAGCGAGAGGGCAGCUGAUUGGCUGUUCGACAUAAUGUUAGUUGUUUCUGUUUAUGGCAGAGGGGAGUAGCCUAUAAAAGCUUGUUAAUCACAAACAAGGUCUAACCACUCACACAUUACCACCUGGACCAGGACCUCCCUUGUCUUGAACAUCAUGUUCAAGAUUUUGGUUUUUGCAUUGCCCAUAGCAGCUCAGCUGUUAUUUACUUCUGCACAGACCACCACACAAAGUAAAACUACAACCAUAAACAGCAUGCCCACUGCAACCACAAUAGCAACAACAGCACCUGCAACAACAAUGACAAGACCAGCAGCAACAACAACACCAGCAACAACAACAACAACAAUGGUUAGACCUGCAACAACAACACCAGCAACAACAACAACACCUGCAGCAGCAGCAGCAAGCACAAUGACAACAAUACCAGCAACAGCAACAACACCAUCAGCAGCAGCAGCAACAACAACAACAACACCAGCAACAAUAAAAUCAACAGCAACAGCAACAGCAACAACAACACCAGCAGCAACAGCAACAAUGGCAAGACCAGAAACAGCAACAAUGACAAGACCAGCAACAACAGCAGCAGCAGCAGCAGCAUCAACAACAAUAACAACAACUCCAGCAACAACAACAAUACCAGCAACAACAACAACAACAGCAGCAGCAGCAGCAACAACAACAGCAACAACAACACCAGCAGCAACAGCAACACCAACAACAGCAGCAGCAGCAGCAGCAGCAGCAGCAACAACAACAGCAACAACACCAGCAACAACAACAAUGACAAGAGCAGCAGCAGCAACAACAACAACAACAACAACAACAACAACAACAACACAACCAGCAACAACAACAACAACACCAGCAGCAAUAAAAUCAACUCCAACAACAACAACACCUGCAGCAGAAAAAACAGCAGCAGCAGCAGCAGCAGCAACAAUAAAAUCAACUCCAACAGCAAAAGCAACAACACCACCACCAACAAUAAAAUCAACACCAACAACAACAACACCUGCAGCGGCAGCAAGCACAACAACAACACAACCAACAACAACAACACCUGCAGCAGCAGCAGCAGCAGCAGCAGCAGCAGCAGCAGCAACAGCAACAACAACAACAACAACAACAAACAACCAGCAACAACAACAACAACACCAGCAACAAUAAAAUCAACUCCAACAGCAAAAGCAACAACACCAACAACAACAACAACGGCAAGACCAGAAACAACAACAACAACACCUGCAGCAGCAGCAGCAGCAGCAGAAACAGCAGCAGCAACAACAACAACAACAACAACAACACAACCAGCAACAACAACAACAACAACACCAGCAACAAUAAAAUCAACUCCAACAGAAACAGCAACAACACCACCACCAACAACAACGGCAAGACCAGAAACAGCAACAACAACACCUGCAGCAGCAGCAGAAACACCAGCAGCAGCAGCAACAACAACAACACAACCAGCAACAGCAGCAAAAACAACAACAACACCAGCAACAAUAAAAUCAACACCAACAACACCUGCAGCAGCAGCAAGCACAACAACAACACAACCAACAACAACAACACCUGCAGCAGCAGCAGAAACAGCAGCAGCAGCAACAACAACAACGACGACGACGACGACAACAACAACAACAACAACAACAACAACAACACAACCAGCCACAACAACAACAACACCAGCAACAAUAAAAUCAACUCCAACAGCAAAAGCAACAACACCACCAACAACAACGGCAAGACCAGAAACAGCAACAACAACACCUGCAGCAGCAGCAGAAACAACAGCAGCAGCAGCAACAACAACACAACCAGCAACAGCAGCAAAAACAACAACAACACCAGCAACAAUAAAAUCAACACCAACAGCAACAGCAACAACAACACCAGCAGCAACAUCAACAAUGGCAAGACCAGAAACAGCAACAAUGACAAGACCAGCAACAACAGCAGCAGCAGCAGCAUCAACAACAACAACAACUCCAGCAGCAACAACAACAAUGGCAACAACAACAGCAGCAGCAUCAACAACAACAAUGGCAAGACCAGCAACAACAACAACUACAACACCUGCAGCAGCAGCAAGAACAACAACAACAAUACCAGCAACAGCAACAACAACAGCAGCAGCAGCAGCAGUAGAAACAGCAGCAGCAGCAGCAACAACAACACAACCAGCAACAACAACAACAACACCACCAGCAACAAUAAAAUCAACACCAACAGCAAAAGCAACAACAACACCAGCAACAACAACAACAACAGAAAGAUCAGAAACAGCAACAACAACAAUGACAAGACCAGCAACACCACCAACAGCAGCAGCAGCAACAACAACAACAAUAGCAGCAGCAGCAGCAACAACACCAGCAACAACAACGACAAGAGCAGCAGUAACAACAACAAUAGCAGCAACAACAGUAGCAGCAGCAACAACAAUAGCAGGAACAACAACAACGGAAGCAAUAGCAGCAGCAACAACAACAGUAGCAGCAGCAACAAUAACAACAACAAAAACAGUAGCAGUAGCAACAAAAACAACAGCAACAACUAUAGUAGCAGCAACAACAACAACAACAGUAGCAACAACACUGAUAACUACACCAAAAAACAGUCCCACAAACCAAAUUCCCAACCUCAGGGCUUCAUUUGGUCUAUUGUUCCUGCCAGUGUCUGUGUACCUGUGGUGGCAAUGCUAAUUGGUGGUCUCUGAUGGUCUGGAAAAAUGAGUAACCAUCUGAAAUCAAGAGCCACUACAUUCAGGAAAAAUAAUUUAGCUUGUUCAUUUCACUUCUGUAUAUAUGAUAAGAACAUUAUUUUUUCUUCCUUUUCUUUUUAAUUAUACUUUCUAAUAAACAAUAAAAUAAUUGUGAGAAAAAAUGAAUAAAUAGUACUUGAAACACACAAAUAAUAUAAUUCAUUUUAUAAGGACAUAGAAUAACUAAUUUCAAUAAAUAAAUAAACAUGACUGUAUGUAAAUUAUUUUCACUUACACAUAUUCUUAUUCUGAUGCUAAUGACAAAACUCUAAACUUUAAGCUUCCAGACCCAGGCAUUUUCAUGAAAGAUGAAUUGUCUACAUAUAGUUCAACUUCCUUGUGGUGAAGGUCAGCACUGUCACAGUAUAAUUUGCAUGGCAAAAAUGGAAUUACACGACAUGUUUCAAAAGAAAAACAUUUAUGUUUUAUGUGCUGUAGCUAUACUCACUCCAAAACAGCAUUUACAGCAGAAUUGUAAAGUUUUAUAAAAAAAC